rnacentral:lncRNA from 1 species
GGAAAGGUAGAGCAAUUCAAGUCAUGCAUCCACCUGGUACGUCCAAAGUCCCCCAAUUAUAUGUCCAUAGUCCUUCAAUUACAUUGCAGGGAAAGGUAGAGCAAUUCAAGUCGUGCAUCCACCUGAUAUGUCCAAAGUCCUCCAAUUACAUGUCCAUAGUCCUUCAAUUGCAUUGCAGGGAAAGGUAGAGCAAUUCAAGUCGUGCAUCCACCUCAUAUGUCCAUAGUCCUCCAAUUACAUGUCCAUGGUCCUUCAAUUACACUGUAAGCAAAGGUAAUUCACGUGCCCAUUGUCCGUCUGAUUACCCACCC